ACAGGCCUCUGUUGGCACAAUUCAUCUUUCCCAGUGUUCACAUAAAGAAAUGAGAAUAAAAUCUUUUUUUAAAAUGCUCAGGCUAUUUAUUUUGAUUUUUAGCAAAUUUUAUCAAAUGCCAAGAAUCUAUUCCACCAAGGAGGGACCUGCAAUCCUCUCAAUAAUUUAUGGACAUUUCACUGAAAAAAAAAAAAAAGCAUCCUGAUAGAUUGGAAGGUUGUCAUUUUGAGCUGAAGACAUGGAUCAAAGUACACUUUGGAACGGUGAUUAAAUGGUGUGGGCUUUCUCUUCUCCACCCUGUGUUCCCUGAAAAAGAAAAAGAAAAAAAAAAAAAAAAACCUCUCUUUGAAUUAGAAUUUGUUCCUUUGAUCUUACACUCUAGCAUAGUGUCAGUUCCAUAGUAGGAAAUCUAAGGCCCAGGAGUGCCUUUGCAAAAUGCCCACAUUCAAGUGAACAGCUCAAGAUGAAAAGUAAAUUGUCAUUUAAUAACAAAAGCAGGUCUGUUUGCUGAUGAUGUCAGAGCUGUCCUGCAGGAAGCCUUGCCCAGGUAGCCCAGGGGAGGUACCCAUCUUCCUUACAGGGAGAAAGAAGCCAUGUAUGACAGCGGUUAAUGCCUGUGAAAGCGUUAAAGCUGUCUUAUGCUAUGGCCUCACCCCAGACAAGUAAGCAGAGAGUCAGGGAGGGCCAGCUAGUUGCUCUCUCCCAAAGCUCUCCUGCUGAUUCUUAUUUUCCCCACCUUGGGGAGGGAGGGAGGCAGACAAGUAGCAGGAACUUUGAUCUUUGAUCUUGUCAGCAAUCAACUUGCAGUUUUUAGUGACUAUCUCCAUAUCUUUUUCAAUCUCUUUAAAGACAGCUUUAUAGGCAGAAAUUUUUAGUUUCCCCUUCCCCUCCCAUAACCAGCCUUUUACUUAGUUUUUACAACUCCUUUCCUUCUCAUCAUUAAUCAAUCAAUUGUAAUUCUCUGGUUUCUGGCACUCUGCUGGGAAGCCAAAUAAGGACUGUGGCUGAGGUGACGUCCAUAUUUACUUGGGUAUAUAAAUGUUACAACUGACUCAAGGCUAAAUCCUGUUUGUGUCUGGCUAGUGAUAGAAUUAGCACCUGAAUAAAUUAUUCCUGCCUGGAUUCUGAGAGGGAGGCAGAGAACACGGAAAGGAAGAAAGAACAGAGGAGCAUGCGUACCUAAUGCUUCAACUGCCCUGACAUUACAGCCACAGGAAAGACGGGAACUUAACCAGAAAAUCUCUGACUUUUGAGGACUUGCAAAAAUUCUUAAAAGAAGAAUUGCUUUGAUUUUGAAGAAUAAUUUUUAUAUGAUCACAUUGAAAGGCAUGAGGCUAUAAAGUUGGCAAGUUUCUAUUAAGACGAGUGUUUGUUACAGCUCCCCAAAAUUUAGACUCAUUAGCACAAAGUCUGACUCCUUUUCAUGUAGAGCGUCUCUGGCUCUGUUUGGCUGUAGAAAGAAAUAGCUAGUGAUAUUAAGCACUCAUUAGAUUCUGUUCAUGGUGACUCAUUUCCCUUCAAACCCUACAAGGUACUCACACUUCUACAUUUUCUCCUCCAAGAAGAAGGGCGAAAGCCUAGUUCAUUUAGGAAGAUCACUCCCCUUACCACCUCCAUUGGCGUUUCAGUAUAGCUGUGCAGAAAUAGUGUUUAUAAAACAAGCACAAAGCAUAACUGCAGUGAGAUGAUUACAGUCAGGCAGCCUCAGCAUCUCCACUAAGACCACCCAAGAUGUUUUAUGCACAAAAUGACCAUCAUAUCUGGGGCAUCAAUUUUCCAAGAAAAACCAGAUGUUUCCUGCCUCUGAUCAGCUGCUUCCUAGAACACCAGCACCAACUCCUCCCUGCAGGGCGCUAGCAGCCAUUCCUGUUCCUCCUGUUUCAAAACCUUCGAAUUCUGGGUCCUAACUCCUAGCCCUGGGAAUUAAGACACUUAUUAAAAGGUAUAUUUCUAAAUGCUUUUUCUAUAGACUCUAAGUAAAUCAGCCUAGAGUAGAUCCCAAAUGUACAUUUUCCUAAGCAAAGGUUGAGCAAAGGUUUCCACAUAUAUCUGAUGCUAAUAAUACGCAAACACAAUUAAAAUUGAGCACAGCCUUUGAGACAAAGCUUCCUCUAUUCCAUUUACACAGUAGUUUCCCUCAUGAAGGUGGAAGGUAAUGAUUUCCAACAUUUCUUACCUUUUGCUAAAAGAUAAAAGUCUGUGCUGGGCGGGUUAAUUUCACUAACACUAACACAGCUUGGUCAAUGCAAUAUCUUCGGGUCUGAAAAACCUUUCUUCCUCGAAUCACCACUACUUUUCAUGAACCAUGGUCACCUCCAAAUUUCUACAGAAAAAGAACAAAGCCAAAAGGAAAUUUAGUAUGCUGGCAUAUUGGGUGGGCCACCCAAACAACAGUGUUAGAAGUAUCUUAGAGCUCUUCUAGAGUCUUCAUUUUAGAUGAGGAAACGAACUGGAAAGGCAGGAUGCCUUACAGAGGAGCCUUCAGAUAGCUCCUUUCCAGACUCUCUCCUUGGUGAGCUGCCUGCCGCUUUGACACCAUGAAGCUCUGUCUAUAAUGGGUUGUGUUAAAGCAGCUGUAGUCCGUAUGGUCUGAAGAGGUAACUGUAUCACAACUGUGAAACGAGGCUCCAGAAAAGUCACUCCUAAGCACAAACGGGGCAGUUGUCCCAAAAGAGUAGAGGAUAAGAUGAGCUGUCUGAGAUAAGGGGACACUCUUGAUGUAUAACAGAACUCUAGGUCCCACCUGUGACAUUGUAAGGAUGGCCAUUUCCAGAGGAGAUGUUCAAAUAGCUAUAAAGUUAAAGGGAUCCAGGUUAGG
rnacentral:lncRNA from 1 species